rnacentral:sRNA from 1 species
UUGGUCUUGAUCCAAGCCUCAGAUUGAUUGUAGUUCCCUGCUGUAUUACUCCGCCAGUAAAAUCGCUACGUUCCCAAUAUGAUAGUACCGUGACCGUCAAACCUCGGCUGAUUACGUGGCCUCUGUGGAAUCAGCAGAUACUAAACUAUACUGGGAAUCAUAGGUGACGUGCCGCGUGACUGGACUAAUGACGUCACUGCUUUGACAGCCUGCACCACACUUAAGGUGCAUGGAGCAUCGGCCACUGCCGCUGUAUUGAACGCUGGAGGAAAAGCUACUUGAUUUGAAGUAGGCCGUACUUUAGCAGCAGGUCAACAUUUGUAGGUAUUUCUUUUUUUACUUUUGGAGAAUCUUUCUCUAACACCUCAUCAUCAACUUUUGAAGGCAGAAUGGGAACAUUUUUCUUGUCAUUGAUUUGAUCGCCUCGUGGUUGGUACUGAAGAAAAUAAACACAAGUAAACUCUCUACCAGUUGGUAUUUUUUUUAGGUUUUUAUUAAUAUAUCUCUUUCACGUGGUUGACGGGAAUUAAAACGGCUAUUUUCUGUAGCUUCUAGACCAUAAAUGAUAAUUCAUUCAUUUUUCGUUUAAAAUCAUUUAGAAAGAAAAUCAAUGAGUUAUAGUUGUUUGAAUAUUAUAAAGGGCACCAUUACAUUAAUAAUUUUUACCAUUGUCUGAAACGCUUGAGAGUAGGAGACUCCUAGUGAGUCUGCUGUGCUUCCUAUAACCUGUGGUUGCAAAGGAGCUUGUUGAGCGGUAAAUAUUUGCUGUAUCUGAGGUGUAUGACUGCCGGGAAAGGCCCACAAGCGAUGAGGGUCAUACAUGUCUGAAAAACAAGACCAUCACAAAUUAAAAAACAAAACAAAAUUUUUUGCUAUGAAAAUUUAAAAAAUAUAAGUUAUUCUUUUCCUCUCUAUGUUAACAAUAUAUUAAAAUAAAAAAAUAACCAGCCGAUUAUUCCUUGUAUAUAAUGUUAUACAACUUAACCAGUUUUGGGUUUUAUACAUAUAUUCAGUCUUUAUUACCACUAAGAUUUGUUGACGGUAUUAGGAGGAGCUGUCCAACUGAAUCCUGUAUUAGUUUAUAGCCUGGAGGAAUCGACAAAGGAAGCUGGUUGCCUUCUAUCGAGUUGGUAGUUGUUGGUAUGCUUGUAUUAAGAUUGUAGGCUGGAAGUUGUGAAAGCCAUGGUGACUGACCAAGUGUAGAAUGCCCAGACUGAAGCCAUGGUGACGUAAAAUGCCUUGCCGAAGGAUCAUCUGCCCAAGCUACCCCUGUCCCGUUUGCAGAACCUGAAACAAUUAUUACCGCAAAACGAGAAAAACGUUGAGAUGAAGCAAUUGAACCAAACAUGGUGAACGAAAGAAAAUACGAUCUCGCCGGCACGGAGAUCGAUUGGACCGACAGAGCUGGAAUCUCAAAGCCUACGGUCGUAUAUAUUGAUCUUGGAGGACAAAAUUCCCCAUGCAUCUUUCUUGCCUUGACGCUAUUCUCCACGUGCUCCAAACAUGCCUAAUUUAAAAUCUCUGUGCAUUGGUGAAUGAAGAGCUUAAUAUGAUAUAAUACAAUGAGAAAAAGGUCAUAACUUUCUUUUCUAUUUUUUCUUUGUACUAGCUGUAUUCAUGGAAGGACACACUUAAUGCGUCAGAACAUGUAUUUUUAGAAGUAAUUUUGAUGUACACAACUUUGUUCUUAGGGCUAUAUCAAUACCUUGAUGUCUUGAUACAUAUAAAUAAAUAAUGUGAAGAUU